rnacentral:misc_RNA from 1 species
GAUGAAGAACGUAGCAAAAUGCGAUACUUGGUGUGAAUUGCAGAAUCCCGUGAACCAUCGAGUUUUUGAACGCAAGUUGCGCCCGAAGCCUUUUGGCCGAGGGCACGUCUGCCUGGGCGUCACGCAUCGCGUCGCCCCCCACAAUUCUCCGUAAAAGGAACAUGUGUUUUGGGGGCGGAUAUUGGUCUCCCGUGCUCAUGGCGUGGUUGGCCGAAAUAGGAGUCCUUUCGAUGGACGCACGAACUUGUGGUGGUCGUAAAAACCCUCGUCUUUUGUUUCGUGCUGUUGCUCGCAAGGUAAACUCUUUAAAAACCCCAAUGUGUCGUCUCUUGACGACGCUUCGACCGCGACCCCAGGUCAGGCGGGACUACCCGCUGAGUUUAAGCAUAUCAAUAAGCGGAGG